rnacentral:rRNA from 1 species
GACGAAGCGUGCGAACGUUGUUCGGAAUCACUGGGCUUAAAGGGCGCGUAGGCGGGCUGCCAAGUCUGGGGUGAAAUCCUCCGGCUCAACCGGAGAACGGCCUCGGAUACUGAUGGUCUCGAGGAGGAUAGGGGCACACGGAACUGUGGGUGGAGCGGUGAAAUGCGUUGAUAUCCAUAGGAACUCCGGUGGCGAAAGCGGUGUGCUGGAUCCUUUCUGACGCUGAGGCGCGAAAGCCAGGGGAGCAAACGGG